ensembl:lncRNA ly-6/neurotoxin-like protein 1
CAUCUUUGUGUGUGUCAAUAAUCAGGUAUCUCUUAACUCCCCAAACCAGAUUGCUCUGUUCAUUCUUCACAUUCAUAUGCAUCUUUCCACUUGCACAUAUUCAUUGUCUCCCCUCUUGUCAAAAAAACCCCGCCCUCUCUAUCACGGCCAUAUAUCUGGACAGAUUCGGACCAGCAUCCAGUGUGCUUGCUGUCCUCCAAAGAGUUUCUCUGCUGUCAGAAUUCAGUUCUGCUGAACGCGUCAUCAACAUGAUGAUCAGAAUUGUGCUUGGAGUCAUUGCAGCGAUUGGAUUCCUCACUCUCAGUGAAGCCCUGACGUGUAAUUCCUGUAAAGUGGGCAUUCUAGGCAAAUGUUUAUUCAGUUCCCAAGUGUCCUGCGCUGCCUCCGAGACCAACUGCUACACUGCCAAAGCAGAGUUCAAUGUGACGGGGUUUUUGAGUCUGUCCUCCAGUGGGUGCACAUCUGAUUGCAACAACACCGCUGGAAGCAUCCUGGGUGCGGGAUACACGGUGACCAAAAGCUGCUGCGCUGUAAAUCUGUGCAACGGAGCGAGUGCUGCACAGCUGUCUGUGGCUGGGGCUCUCAGCGCCGCACUGCUGGCCUCCGUCUGGAGCAACUCCAUGCUGUAGAUCUAACACCUCCAUGUCUGUGCAGUGUUAUGUUCACAGUAACUCCCUGAACUGGAACCAGUGAAGAUAUCAUCUCUAGAAUGUAUAGAUACCAUAACUUUGAUUGUUUACUCCACUGUGUUUAUCGGUCACAUUAUCCCACUUUUCUUAUAAACAUUUAAUUACAAUGUAAAACAUAUUUAAAAUUUCAAAACUUUUGCUGAAGUUUUUUUUUAUUUUUUAUAAAAACCUACAUUUGGAUGCACACUGUGGAAUAAGGUGAUGAUAUAUUUGAAGUGGAGCUGAAUAAAUUUCACAGCAGUGACUCUGUGUUAGGUACUGUACUUUUACAUUUACUAGUAAAUGAUGACAACUAUCCCCUGACUUUAUAUAUAUAUUCAAGCACAUUGUAACAUUAGACUAGAUUAAUAAAUAUAAACUGAAAAAAAACCCUGUUAUUUCAGUUAUGUUUUUGUUAGUAUUACAGUUUUUGCCUAUUGCUUGAACACUUUUUGCAAAACUUCGGCUCAUUGUGUCAAAACUUUACAGACAAGCACACAAGACACAACACUGGGAAAUAAACCAUUCAC